AAUCUUAUAUUCUAAAUAAUGAUAUUAAAUUGCAAAUUUAAUGAUAUUAAUUUAUUAAAAUUAAUUAAGGUUU
rnacentral:tRNA from 1 species